CCGUGCGGUGGCUGGUGGCGGCGGCGCUGGCGUGGGUGGCCGCGCAGGCGUGGGCGCUGACGGUGCGGUUCGAGCCCGUCGCGCCGG
rnacentral:tRNA from 1 species